rnacentral:tRNA from 1 species
GCCGGGGUGGCGUAGUUGGUAGCGCGCCGGACUCAUAAUCCGGAGGUCGCGGGUUCAAACCCCGCUCCCGGCACCA